rnacentral:rRNA from 1 species
GAUGAACGCUGACGGCGUGCCUAAUACAUGCAAGUCGAGCGAACGGACGAGAAGCUUGCUUCUCUGAUGUUAGCGGCGGACGGGUGAGUAACACGUGGAUAACCUACCUAUAAGACUGGGAUAACUUCGGGAAACCGGAGCUAAUACCGGAUAAUAUUUUGAACCGCAUGGUUCAAAAGUGAAAGACGGUCUUGCUGUCACUUAUAGAUGGAUCCGCGCUGCAUUAGCUAGUUGGUAAGGUAACGGCUUACCAAGGCAACGAUGCAUAGCCGACCUGAGAGGGUGAUCGGCCACACUGGAACUGAGACACGGUCCAGACUCCUACGGGAGGCAGCAGUAGGGAAUCUUCCGCAAUGGGCGAAAGCCUGACGGAGCAACGCCGCGUGAGUGAUGAAGGUCUUCGGAUCGUAAAACUCUGUUAUUAGGGAAGAACAUAUGUGUAAGUAACUGUGCACAUCUUGACGGUACCUAAUCAGAAAGCCACGGCUAACUACGG